rnacentral:rRNA from 1 species
GACGAACGCUGGCGGCGUGCUUAACACAUGCAAGUCGAGCGAUGAAGUUUCUUCGGAAAUGGAUUAGCGGCGAACGGGUGAGGAACACGUGAAGAAUCUGCCCUCCACUUUGGGAUAACACCGGGAAACCGGUGCUAAUACCGAAUAUUGAAACAUAAGUGGCAUCACUGAGUUUUGAAAGAAUUUCGGUGGAGGAUGACUUCGCGGCCUAUCAGCUAGUUGGUGAGGUAAUGGCUCACCAAGGCAACGA